rnacentral:rRNA from 1 species
UGGGGAAUAUUGCGCAAUGGGGGAACCCGUGACGCAGCAACGCCGCGUGAAGGAUGAAGGCUUUCGGGUUGUAAACUUCUUUGAUGAGGGACGAAAGAAAUGACGGUACCUCAAAACAAGCCACGGCUAACUACGUGCCAGCAGCCGCGGUAAUACGUAGGUGGCGAGCGUUGUCCGGAAUUACUGGGUGUAAAGGGCGUGUAGGCGGGGAUGCAAGUCAGAUGUGAAAUGCCGGGCUUAACUCCGGAGCUGCAUCUGAAACUGUGUUUCUUGAGUGUCGGAGAGGAAAGCGGAAUUCCCAGUGUAGCGGUGAAAUGCGUAGAUAUUGGGAGGAACACCAGUGGCGAAGGCGGCUUUCUGGACAAUAACUGACGCUGAGGCGCGAAAGCGUGGGGAGCAAACAGGAUU